AACACUGUUAACCUGCGGUACCUGCGGAAGGAUCAUUAUAGUAUAUGGAAUCUCCAUUCUAUAAACCCACUCUGCGUAUCUUGUAACUGUUGCUUCCAUGGGACUUGGUUCCGCCACACCGGCUUCACGGCUGGUGAGCGCCCAUGGAAGGAGAAACAAAACUCUUCUUUGAAAUGUAGUCAGUCUGAACGAGUUUUUAUAAACGUUAAAACUUUCAGCAAUGGAUCUCAGAUCGGAAGA
rnacentral:misc_RNA from 1 species